rnacentral:misc_RNA from 1 species
GAUCUCUUAUUCAUACUACUAACAGCUCAAAUUCUCCAACCUACAUUGACAUGACCAAAUGAAAAAUACAACAUAAAGCAAAGGGGGUGGGGUGGGGUGGGGUGGGCGCAUAGCCUAAAUUACACACACACACACACUUUUAACUAGUUUAAUGAGCAAUAAAACAUAUUGUAUUAUCCUUAUCACCCAUCUAACAAAAAAUUAAAAAAGAAACGAAACUAAAAAAAAAUUAAAAGCAACAAAAUAAUACCCAGUGUGAAAGAAAGAAGAUGAGAAAAAGAAAGAAAGAAAUAGGAGGUUAAAAGAAAGAAAGAGUUAGUUCAGCAAGAGGAGAGAAGAGGAGAGGAGGAGAAGAAAGAGAGAAGAGGGGAGGAGAGAAAGAGGAGAGAAGAAGGAGAGAAAUACCUAGUUUGUGGUCUCUUGGAGUGCUGC